GGGCAGAGAGGGGGAGAUGCUGUCCAGACCAGGGGGCGUCAGAUAGGGCCGGGGACCAGGGAAGGGGGACACGGAUGGUUUCGGAAGUGCGCCAGAGGCUGGAGAAGUGCACCCUUGGGAGGACGGUGGGAAGGAGCGCGCGAAGGGGUGGGGGCCCCCCAAGUGCUGCAUUUCUGGAGGAGGUGCUAAGCGGACGUCCUGGCCCGUCCCACCUCGCAGCCACCACAAGGAGGGAGGAGUUCGGCGUGGGCUGGUUCUCGAAGGUCCCCACCCUCGGAACUAUCUUCCAGAGUCCCCGAGCUGUGCGGGGCCCCGGAUCCUCUGGCUAACCGUCCGAUGACCAUCAGGACAGGAACUGGCACUAGCUGUCCCUAGCACCUAAAGAAUGCUCUCCUCCAGUGUCCACUGGCUUGUCUCUUACCCUCCUUAGCUUGCAAUCAAACGCCACUCUUAGGCACUUCCAGGUGGUCUUAUGAAUGGCUGAGGUCAGCUCUCAGGACUAGAGGAAGCCUCAGGCUGAGAAGUGUGAACUGGGGAUCUGAAAUGGGCAUUGGCCCACGGACUCUGGGACUGUCUGCCAAGGCUUGAGAUCAGCUAAUGUGUGUGGGGAAGUCUCCAGCAGCCUGCCUGAGGCCAUCAUAGAACCACUCCACAACCACAACCUUACCUUCCAGACAGCUUCAGAAUCCUCGUCAUUGUGGUGUUUGAGACAGCCACGUAUUCUUUGGGAACAUUCAGAAUGAAGUCUGUUUGAGGCUCUA